GUCUCGUCUGCUUUACUUAUGAUAGUAUAUUUGUUGAACGUCUAUAAUAUCAAGGGUUUUACUAGAAGUGUCAAAUGCGCUUAAGAUUGUCAAUGGUUCAUAAAAAGAGUUCAAGGUCAGAAUACCAUGCCAUACAGAUCUCUACAUAUAUCCCGUACACCAAAUAAAUGUGUUCCGAUCCUUACAGUGCCUUAGAAACUG
rnacentral:lncRNA from 1 species